rnacentral:ncRNA from 2 species
UCACGGCUUUAGGGGUAUUCUGAUAUAGAAUUGAGAUAGUCCCUUUGAACCUGAUGCGGCUCAUACCGUCGAAGGGAAAAGCGUAGCAAUACAC